CUUAUCAUUUAGAGGAAGGAGAAGUCGUAACAAGGUUUCCGUAGGUGAACCUGCGGAAGGAUCAUUGUCGAAAUCGAACGGAAGAACGACACGCGAAUCGUCAUUGCGUACUAGACAGAGCCCGUGAGCACCUAACGCUCACGGGGCUCGCGUCGCGUCGGAGCGGGUGUCCUCGAGACGCGUCGUACCGGCGGACAAACAAUGUCAGCACGGAUCGUGCCAAGGAGCUUUAUUGAGAGACUCGUCGUCCCACGCCUUUGACAGUCCUCGAUGCGGGACGGGGGGCGGGGGGGAUGUACGCAAUCUCUACCCAAAGUCUGAACGACUCUCGGCAACGGAUAUCUCGGCUCUUGCAUCGAUGAAGAACGUAGCGAAAUGCGAUACUUGGUGUGAAUUGCAGAAUCCCGCGAACCAUCAAUUCUUUGAACCACCACGGCGUUCGGUGGAUCGAAUGAGAUUGGCUGCGCCGUGGGCUCGGCAUGCGGCGGGCUCCGGACUUUGAUUGUCCUCGAGUGCGAUCCCAGGUCAGGCGGGGCUACCCGCUGAGUUUAAGCAUAUCAAUAAGCGGAGGAAAAGAAACUAACGAGGAUUCCCUUAGUAGCGGCGAGCGAACCGGGAAGAGCCCAGCGUGAAAAUCGUCCGUCAUCGGCGGCCGAAUUGUAGUCUGGAGAAGCGUCC
rnacentral:rRNA from 1 species